rnacentral:rRNA from 1 species
AACGAACGCUGGCGGCAUGCCCAACACAUGCAAGUCGAACGAGACCUUCGGGUCUAGUGGCGCACGGGUGCGUAACGCGUGGGAACCUGCCUUUAGGUUCGGAAUAACAGUGAGAAAUUACUGCUAAUACCGGAUGAUGUCUUCGGACCAAAGAUUUAUCGCCUUUAGAUGGGCCCGCGUUGGAUUAGCUAGUUGGUGGGGUAAAGGCCUACCAAGGCGACGAUCCAUAGCUGGUCUGAGAGGAUGAUCAGCCACACUGGGACUGAGACACGGCCCAGACUCCUACGGAGGCAGCAGUGGGGAAUUUUGGACAAUGGGCGCAAGCCUGAUCCAGCAAUGCCGCGUGCAGGAAGAAGGCCUUCGGGUUGUAAACCGCUUUGUCAGGAAGAAUACUUCUGGGCUAAUACCUCGGGAGGAUGACGGUACCUGAAGAAUAAGCACGGCUAACUACGUGCCAGCAG